rnacentral:rRNA from 1 species
GACGAACGCUGGCGGCGUGCUUAACACAUGCAAGUCGAACGGAAAGGCCCUGCUUUUGUGGGGUGCUCGAGUGGCGAACGGGUGAGUAACACGUGAGUAACCUGCCCUUGACUUUGGGAUAACUUCAGGAAACUGGGGCUAAUACCGGAUAGGAGCUCCUGCUGCAUGGUGGGGGUUGGAAAGUUUCGGCGGUUGGGGAUGGACUCGCGGCUUAUCAGCUUGUUGGUGGGGUAGUGGCUUACCAAGGCUUUGACGGGUAGCCGGCCUGAGAGGGUGACCGGCCACAUUGGGACUGAGAUACGGCCCAGACUCCUACGGGAGGCAGCAGUGGGGAAUAUUGCACAAUGGGCGGAAGCCUGAUGCAGCAACGCCGCGUGCGGGAUGACGGCCUUCGGGUUGUAAACCGCUUUCGCCUGUGACGAAGCGUGAGUGACGGUAAUGGGUAAAGAAGCACCGGCUAACUACGUGCCAGCAGCCGCGGUGAUACGUAGGGUGCGAGCGUUGUCCGGAUUUAUUGGGCGUAAAGGGCUCGUAGGUGGUUGAUCGCGUCGGAAGUGUAAUCUUGGGGCUUAACCCUGAGCGUGCUUUCGAUACGGGUUGACUUGAGGAAGGUAGGGGAGAAUGGAAUUCCUGGUGGAGCGGUGGAAUGCGCAGAUAUCAGGAGGAACACCAGUGGCGAAGGCGGUUCUCUGGGCCUUUCCUGACGCUGAGGAGCGAAAGCGUGGGGAGCGAACAGGCUUAGAUACCCUAGUAGUCCACGCUGUAAACGGUGGGUACUAGGUGUGGGGUCCAUUCCACGGGUUCCGUGCCGUAGCUAACGCUUUAAGUACCCCGCCUGGGGAGUACGGCCGCAAGGCUAAAACUCAAAGGAAUUGACGGGGCCCCGCACAAGCGGCGGAGCAUGCGGAUUAAUUCGAUGCAACGCGUAGAACCUUACCUGGGUUUGACAUGGAUCGGGAGUGCUCAGAGAUGGGUGUGCCUCUUUUGGGGUCGGUUCACAGGUGGUGCAUGCCUGUCGUCAGCUCGUGUCGUGAGAUGUUGGGUUAAGUCCCGCAACGAGCGCAACCCUUGUUCACUGUUGCCAGCACGUUAUGGUGGGGACUCAGUGGAGACCGCCGGGGUCAACUCGGAGGAAGGUGGGGAUGACGUCAAGUCCUCAUGCCCCUUAUGUCCAGGGCUUCACGCAUGCUACAAUGGCUGGUACAGAGAGUGGCGAGCCUGUGAGGGUGAGCGAAUCUCGGAAAGCCGGUCUCAGUUCGGAUUGGGGUCUGCAACUCGACCUCAUGAAGUCGGAGUCGCUAGUAAUCGCAGAUCAGCAACGCUGCGGUGAAUACGUUCCCGGG